rnacentral:snRNA from 1 species
AGGUGAGGGUGAUUUGUCUGUGACAUGUGUUGCCCCAUUGAUCACCAGGCUUGAUUUGACUGAUCUGGCUGGCUAGGUGGGUGUCUACUUCCUCCCUCACCACUCCAUAUGAGACCCUCUUGAAGCUGUGUGCUUGGUCAAAGAGGAUGACCUUCCAAAACUAGAGAAGUGCCGUUCUUCAGUCAAGGGUAUAUUAUAGCUACUCUUCCAUGGUAAGACCUCCAAACAAGCUCAAGGUCCAUUUGUAGGAGAAAGUAGGGUGGUCAAGCUUCUAAGACUCCAGACACAUCUAAAUGAGGUGUUGCAUGUGGCAGUCUGCCUUUCUUU